GAUGAAGAACGUAGUGAAAUGCGAUAAGUAAUGUGAAUUGCAGAAUUCAGUGAAUCAUCGAAUCUUUGAACGCACAUUGCGCCCCUUGGUAUUCCGGGGGGCAUGCCUCUUCCAGCGUCAUUUCACCACUCAAGCCUCGCUUGGUAUUGGGCAACGCGGUCCGCCGCGUGCCUCAAAUCGACCGGCUGGGUCUUCUGUCCCCUAAGCGUUGUGGAAACUAUUCGCUAAAGGGUGUUCGGGAGGCUACGCCGUAAAACAACCCCAUUUCUAAGGUUGACCUCGGAUCAGGUAGGGAUACCCGCUGAACUUAAGCAUAUCAAUAAGCGGAGGA
rnacentral:misc_RNA from 1 species